GACGGUGAGGCUGGCCAUGAGAUGAAGGUGGAGGUGAAGGUGGCGGUCGGCGACGCCAGGAACGUCAUCUGCCAGAUGGCGGACAAGCUCGGCGCCGACGUGCUGGUGAUGGGGAGCCAUGGCUAUGGCCUGUUCAAGAGGGCUCUGCUUGGAAGUGUCAGUGAUUACUGCGUCAGGAACGCCAACUGUCCAGUUCUCAUCGUCAAGUCGUAGCUGCCACUCACUCCAGUGCUUGUAACUGUGCAGCAGCAUGUGUGCUCUGUCCGGC
rnacentral:misc_RNA from 1 species